CAGCAUUGGACAGGAAAGGCUACUUGGGUUUCAUUCUAAUAAUCAGGCCACUGCAGUCAAUGUGAAUAUUAUUGUCGCUGGAUAGAUUGAUGGCUUCUAAUGUUCUAAUGCUGUCGUUACUUGUACAAAGCCGACUUCCUUUAUGUAACCGAUGAAUGCCAUAAACAAGGGUUU